rnacentral:rRNA from 1 species
AGUAAAUAGAUACCCUGGUAGUCCACGCCGUAAACGAUGGGUACUAGGUGUAGGGGUUUCGAUACCUCUGUGCCGCCGUUAAACACAAAUAAAGUACCCCGCCUGGGGAGUACGGUCGCAAGAUUAAAACUCAAAGGAAUUGACGGGGGCCCGCACAAGCAGCGGAGCAUGGGGUUUAAUUCGAAGCAACGCGAAGAACCUUACCUAGACUUGACAUCUCCUGCAUUACCCUUAAUCGGGGAAGUCCCUUCGGGGACAGGAAGACAGGUGGUGCAUGGUUGUCGUCAGCUCGUGUCGUGAGAUGUUGGGUUAAAGUCCCGCAACGAGCGCAACCCUUAUUGUUAGUUGCUACCAUUUAGUUGAGCACUCUAGCGAGACUGCCCGGGUUAACCGGGAGGAAGGUGGGGAUGACGUCAAAUCAUCAUGCCCCCUUAUGUCUAGGGCUACACACGUGCUACAAUGGUGAGUACAAAAAGAUGCGAGACCGUGAGGUGGAGCCAAACUUUUAAAACUCAUCCCAGUUCGGAUUGUAGGCUGAAACUCGCCUACAUGAAGCCGGAGUUGCUAGUAA